rnacentral:rRNA from 1 species
UACGGGGGGGGUAAGCGUUGUUCGGAAUUACUGGGCGUAAAGGGCUCGUAGGCGGCCAACUAAGUCAGACGUGAAAUCUCUCAGCUUAACUGGGGAACUGCGUCUGAUACUGGAUGGCUUGAGAUUGGGAGAGGGAUGCGGAAUUCCAGGUGUAGCGGUGAAAUGCGUAGAUAUCUGGAGGAACACCGGUGGCGAAGGCGGCAUCCUGGACCAACACUGACGCUGAGGAGCGAAAGCCAGGGGAGCAAACGGG